UUAGACCCAUUUGACGCAUUAAAACGUCAUUCAUGCCAACCUGUUUACCCAAUCUGCCCGAGGGGUCCAAUUUGCCGCCUCUACAAUGAUGUCAUAUAACUGAAUGAGAAUUCUUCUCGCAUGCCAGAUAAAGGUACACCAAAGAGUUCUAGUUUUUACACUGCACAUUGGGAAACUCAUGACAUCGCUAAAGUACAAAAUUCAUUAGCUCAAGAACUCCAAAUUAUCCUAUAUAAGUGCAAAUACGUGGACAAGUUCAACUAAGACACUUGAAAUUUAAGAGCACAUAGAAUACAGUUGGGGAAUUGGAGUGGGGGUCUAAUAAGCCUACUGUUGAUCUAUAACAACCAACCACCACACUCAUUAAAGUUGGUCAUACAAGUCAUAUCCUUCUUUAUAUCCAAAUCGCCUUUUUUUCUUUUAAGUUACAGGCUCUACAUAACUUUCAUAGAAAUCAAAUCGACCACACAGGCGAGAGAUGUCAGAAGCACCGAAAAUACAAGCCAUGAAUUACCAUCAGGAUGGCCAGAAACCUAAGGAGGAAAAGGGGUACCUAUAUAACUGCUUCUACACAUUGUUUUGUUGUUGUUGCUGCCCCAAGAAAUGUGAAGGCUGCUUGGUCGGUGAUUGUUGCUGUUGCAAGUAGUUCUAUGGCUAUACAUGAAGUCUGGCACUGACUUGGACCAUGACACAUAUUCAUUUAACGCAGUGUAUUUUUAAAGACCAACCUUUUGUACCUACAUAUCGCACUUAUUCUACUUGGUUGUUUGGAUAAUAUUCAAUGUUUGAUGUCA